rnacentral:rRNA from 1 species
UACGGGGGGGGCAAGCGUUGUUCGGAAUUACUGGGCGUAAAGGGCGCGUAGGCGGUUGGAUAAGUCAGCUGUGAAAACCACGAGCUUAACUCGUGGCCUGCAGUUGAGACUGUCUGGCUUGAGUGUGGGAGAGGAGAGUGGAAUUCCUGGUGUAGCGGUGAAAUGCGUAGAUAUCAGGAGGAACACCGGUGGCGAAGGCGGCUCUCUGGACCACAACUGACGCUGAGGCGCGAAAGCUAGGGGAGCGAACAGG